UGGGGAAUAUUGCACAAUGGACGAAAGUCUGAUGCAGCAACGCCGCGUGGAGGAUGACACAUUUCGGUGCGUAAACUCCUUUUAUAUAGGAAGAUAAUGACGGUACUAUAUGAAUAAGCACCGGCUAACUCCGUGCCAGCAGCCGCGGUAAUACGGAGGGUGCAAGCGUUACUCGGAAUCACUGGGCGUAAAGAGCGUGUAGGCGGGUGUAUAAGUCAGAAGUGAAAUCCUAUAGCUUAACUAUAGAACUGCUUUUGAAACUGUAUACCUAGAAUGUGGGAGAGGUAGAUGGAAUUUCUGGUGUAGGGGUAAAAUCCGUAGAGAUCAGAAGGAAUACCGAUUGCGAAGGCGAUCUACUGGAACAUUAUUGACGCUGAGACGCGAAAGCGUGGGGAGCAAACA
rnacentral:rRNA from 1 species